UGGAGAACUGAGGGGGGCUGCUCCUAGUACGAGAGGACCGGAGUGGACGCAUCACUGGUGUUCGGGUUGUCAUGCCAAUGGCACUGCCCGGUAGCUAAAUGCGGAAGAGAUAAGUGCUGAAAGCAUCUAAGCACGAAACUUGCCCCGAGAUGAGUUCUCCCUGAGACUUUAGGUCUCCUGAAGGAACGUUGAAGACGACGACGUUGAUAGGCCGGGUGUGUAAGCGCAGCGAUGCGUUGAGCUAACCGGUACUAAUGAACCGUGAGGCUUAACCUUACAACGCCGAAG
rnacentral:rRNA from 3 species